CACGUAGGGCGCAAGCGUUGUCCGGAAUUAUUGGGCGUAAAGAGCUCGUAGGCGGUCUGUUGCGUCUGCUGUGAAAACUCGGGGCUUAACCCCGAGCCUGCAGUGGAUACGGGCAGACUAGAGGUAGGUAGGGGAGAAUGGAAUUCCUGGUGUAGCGGUGGAAUGCGCAGAUAUCAGGAGGAACACCAAUGGCGAAGGCAGUUCUCUGGGCCGUAACUGACGCUGAGGAGCGAAAGCGUGGGGAGCAAACAGG
rnacentral:rRNA from 1 species